rnacentral:rRNA from 1 species
UACGUAGGUCCCGAGCGUUGUCCGGAUUUAUUGGGCGUAAAGCGAGCGCAGGUGGUUUAUUAAGUCUGGUGUAAAAGGCAGUGGCUCAACCAUUGUAUGCAUUGGAAACUGGUAGACUUGAGUGCAGGAGAGGAGAGUGGAAUUCCAUGUGUAGCGGUGAAAUGCGUAGAUAUAUGGAGGAACACCGGUGGCGAAGGCGGCUCUCUGGCCUGUAACUGACACUGAGGCUCGAAGGCGUGGGGAGCAAACAGG